rnacentral:tmRNA from 1 species
CCACUUCACAAUUCAUUUGAAGGCGCUAUAUCACCCGUGCCGGUCUCGACCGGAUAUGGCGAUAAAUAGUGGUGUGUAAUAGACACAGCGGACCCGGGGGCAGUACCCGGCGGCUCCACCACCACCAGCGGGCGACUGCUGUUGAUGACGGGGCCGAACCAGGAUCGACGUGUGUUAAAAGACAUCGUUUUUGCUCGGGCUGAGUAACCCGCAUAAGGCUCAAAACACACAAGUGCCAACGAUAACGAAGCACUCGCAAUCGCUGCGUAACCUGACGGCCUAACGGCCUGAUCUUACAAAGCUAAAGCGCGGUUGGACCCACCGGGCAACAGAAGGGAUUCCAGGGGCACGGGGUGCGCCCGGCAACAGAAGCACCCCACC